AUUGAACGCUGGCGGCAGGCCUAACACAUGCAAGUCGAACGAGUGGCGGACGGGUGAGUAAUGUCUGGGACACUGCCUGAUGGAGGGGGUUAACUACUGGAACCGGUAGCUAAUACCGCAUACCAUCGGAUGUGCCCAGAUGGGAUUCGCUAGUAGGUGGGGUAAAGGCUCACCUAGGCGACGAUCCCUAGCUGGUCUGAGAGGAUGACCAGCCACACUGGAACUGAGACACGGUCCAGACUCCUACGGGAGGCAGCAGUGGGGAAUAUUGCACAAUGGGCGCAAGCCUGAUGCAGCAAUGCCGCGUGUAUGAAGAAGGUCUUCGGGUUGUAAAGUACUGUCAGCGGGGAAGCGUUACCCGCACAAGAAGCACCGGCUAACUCCGUGCCAGCAGCCGCGGUAAUAC
rnacentral:rRNA from 1 species